rnacentral:rRNA from 1 species
UACGAGGGGAGCAAGCGUUGUUCGGAUUUACUGGGCGUAAAGGGCGCGUAGGCGGCGUGACAAGUCAGUUGUGAAAUCUCCGAGCUUAACUCGGAACGGUCAACUGAUACUGUUUUGCUAGAGUGCAGAAAGGGCAACCGGAAUUCUUGGUGUAGCGGUGAAAUGCGUAGAUAUCAAGAGGAACACCUGAGGCGAAGGCGGGUUGCUAGGCUGACACUGACGCUGAGGCGCGAAAGCUAGGGUAGCAAACGGG